UUUGCAGAAAAUACAUUGAAAAUGCAAUAAAUAUGCAAAAUUAUAACUGAAAAAAUUAUGAAAAAGGUGUCUGAAUAUCCCUCCUCCUUGCCAUAUCCAAUCUUGAUAUUCUGCUGAAAAGGGGGGGGGGGGUAAUUUUGUGCUCUAAUCAUGAUGGAAAAUGAAGGAUUUCUGUUUAAAUUUGGUUUAUUUGAAUAACAAGAGUCAUGUUUAUCUGCAGUUAUUUUUUUUCAAUUUCUUUGAUAUUUUUAAAAUAAUUAUCUGAGUAAAUUCUAUUUUAACAUGAUUAUUUUAAAGGUAUUACAUCACAAAUGCUUUAAAAAAAUUCAAAAGAUGGUGUAAAUAAUAAAGAAUUAUUAUAUAAGCUACUAGAUGCAUUUAUCAGUAUGUUUUAAUAAAAUAAAAUGUAUUUCAGCAAUGCAUUAUCAAGAAGGAAGAGAUUAAUGAACCCUACCCUCUUACAAUGAACAACACAUGGACACUCUCGGGAUGAUCCCUUUGCUUUCAUUAAGAGUUCCAAGAUGUUGGUCUGAUUGACUGGGGUGUGAAAUGUAACAGCCAAUGGUGUACUUAAGCUAAGACUGUCAGUCCCAAUAUUCAAGAGGAAAAACCCCUACAUAAACAAAUGCAUGGGCGCAGACAUUUUGGACACCCAAAGUUGUGCGGAGGAGAAAAUGCUAGCUGGCGCGUGAUUGGUCAAUAAGAGAAAAGACUUGUUAUGUAUUUGACAAGUGAAAUAAAGUUGAUAAAAAUCUCA